ensembl:lncRNA
GUGGUCUCAGGGCUCACCAUCUAUUACUUAACAAAAAUCGGCACAGAAGACAGAGUCCACUGCAGUAGGAAAUGCAGUUUUGAGAAGAGCUGUAAGGUUGCAGGAGACAGUGAGGAAAUACAGAGUAGCUGCUGCAGCAAAAGUCCCGGUGAAUACCUGGGUGACAACAGGCACUUUAGCCUGAAGAUGAGGGCAUCCUAUUUGGUUAAAAGGGACAGUGACAAGGAAAUGCUUCUGUUGAAACAGGGAAACAUAAAAAUGUACUCUCAAACCUGUGGUUUAAAAACGAAGAAUAAAUCUGUAGAAAGGUGGACUUAGAGUUGGGAUUUGAGUGAAGCUGCAAAGCUGAGAAGACUUGAAUGGCCUUAUAUCUUCAAAGAAGUGCCUUGAGCUCUGGAAUGCCACAGAGUGGGAGAAACCACCGAACACCAGGAAAUGUCAACAAUGUGACAGGAACGCCUGGGCAGGAAAACUCUCCAAGAAAGAUUCUGUAAACCUGCAAACAAGCAAAUUAUCUCACAUCUAUGCGGUUGCAUUUUACUUUAUAUCCUUUUCUAUAUCUCUAUUUUAUUAUUUAUUAUU